rnacentral:tRNA from 1 species
AUUACUUUGGCAGAAAAGUGUAUUAAAUUUAGAAUUUAAUAAUAAAUAUUUUAGUAUUUAAGUAAUA